rnacentral:lncRNA from 1 species
CUCUUGCUGUCUUCCCAGGACUCGGCAAUGGGAAUGGGAUGGGACUCGGAGCCCAGCCAGGAUUCGGGAAUGGGAACGGGCUGGGAGGUGGCGCCUUCCCGGGAGUAGGAGCCCAACCAGCAGGUCCUGCAACUCAAAAUGGCUACAGACCAGGGCUCGGGAACGGCAAUGGCUUGGGAGCCCAGCCAGGCCUAGUGACCCAGAAUGGAUAUGGAGCAGGCUUGGGGGGGGCCACGAAGCCCCAGAAACCAGGAUUUGGGAAUGGCGACGGGCUGGGAGGCCAGCCAGGUGAGACUGGUGGGGUCUGGGUGGUACAAGUCUGGGCAUCCUCUCCUGCUUCCCUGGCGGCCUGGCAGGAGGGCGGGUUAGCCUGGGAGCAGCUGGCCUCCAGGCUGGGCUCUGAAGGGGGACCACAGGCGGUUCCCCCACCUGAGCCAGCCCCAACCCCCUGCUCAUCCCUCCUCCCCGCACGGGCCCUCCAGCUCCCAGAGGCUGCAGAGCAGGUACUGAGGGGAGAAGAGAGAAGGGCCUGGCGGGGAGCACUGGUCCUCACCCAGGCCCUGUUGGGGGCGGGGUUUCCUGCCAGACUAGGUGGGGGCGGGGCUUCCUGACAGACUAGGUG